AUGCCUGUUACCUCCCCGGAUGGACAGACGGUACUGCCCAACCCCAGCUCUCUCCCACUCUUGCUUCCAGGGCCUCCCAGAGGCAAGAGGUACCUCCCCUGUAUAGAUCGCCCACCCUCUAGAAGGGGCGGGUCCAGGAGAGCUGCAGGGGCAGCGACGGGGAGGUCUCAUGGGGGGGUGUGGUCGUGGAGGGCUUCCUGGGAGAGGAGCAGCAGAGGGCACUUUGGGAAGACAGGUGCAGCACGAGUAGAGCCUGGUGGGGGACUGGUCAUAGUGCCCUGGGGACACAGCUCCUGGGCCCUGCCGCAGGGAGGCCCCGUCGGAGAGGUGGAAGGGGGCAGUUCGGUGACCUGGGCAGGGCUGGGUCAUGGAGAUCCGGCGCUGCAGGCUGAGGGGCUGCAACUCCUGCGGGCAGUGAAGGCCUGUGGGGAACCAGGAGGGGCCCAGGAGGGUGGGAGAUGCGAGCUAGGCAGCUUGAGGAAGCCGAGCGGGGUCGGACACCAGCACCUCGCUCCUCUGCCCUCCUUUCCCCGCUGUCUGAGUGCUGGCACCAGACCUCCAGCGGCACAUCACGGAGAAUGGGGAUGUUCACUCAACCACUAUUCUUAUUUCAACAGAAGACACCAGCCCCCCACCCCCAACACCAAGCCUCAGCCUUCCUGUUUCCCGUUGCAGGGACAGCUAGGUGCCUGGGCUUCCUUUCCCAUGAGGGAGGUGCCCAGGGUGUGUUUGGGAGAGGGUCUGGGCCUCACGGAGUUCAGGCAGGGUCAGCACAGGGGCAGAGAGUGGCCCCAACGAGGCUCAGCAUCUGGGGGACCAGAACCUGGGUGGAGGCUGCUGGGCCAGGGCCGCCCCAUGAAGCUUGGCUCUUGCCUUUUCUCCUCCUUCGACAAAUAUUUAUGGAGCAUCUAUUAUGUGUCAGGCACUGCUCCGGGGGCAUUGAACCAAACAAAGGUCCCUGGAAACUUGGAGCUUCAAUUCUACUGGGGAAACAGUCAACAGUCAACAAAUAAGCAUCACGAGGUAGUAAUGAGUCCUGUGAAAGAGCAACUUGGGGCAGCCCAGGUGGCUCAGCGGUUUAGCGCUGCCUUUGGCCCAGGGCGUGAUCCUGGAGUCCCGGGAUCGAGUCCCAUGUCGGGCUCCCUGCAUGGAGCCUGCUUCUCCCUCUGCCUGGGUCUCUGCCUCUCUCUGUGUGUGUCUCUUAUGAAUAAAUAA
rnacentral:lncRNA from 1 species